GGGGAAUAUUGGACAAUGGGCGAAAGCCUGAUCCAGCCAUGCCGCGUGAGUGAUGAAGGCCUUAGGGUUGUAAUGCUCUUUUAGCGGGGAAGAUAAUGACGGUACCCGCAGAAUAAGCCCCGGCUAACUUCGUGCCAGCAGCCGCGGUAAUACGAAGGGGGCUAGCGUUGUUCGGAAUUACUGGGCGUAAAGCGCACGUAGGCGGAUUGACAAGUCAGGGGUGAAAUCCCGGGGCUCAACCUCGGAACUGCCUUUGAUACUGUUAGUCUAGAGUCCGGAAGAGGUGGGUGGAAUUCCUAGUGUAGAGGUGAAAUUCGCAGAUAUUAGGAAGAACACCGGUGGCGAAGGCGGCCCACUGGUCCGGAACUGACGCUGAGGUGCGAAAGCGUGGGGAGCAAAC
rnacentral:rRNA from 1 species